rnacentral:rRNA from 1 species
AUUGAACGCUGGCGGCAUGCCUUACACAUGCAAGUCGAACGGCAGCAUGAUCUAGCUUGCUAGAUUGAUGGCGAGUGGCGAACGGGUGAGUAAUACAUCGGAACGUGCCCUGUAGUGGGGGAUAACUAGUCGAAAGAUUAGCUAAUACCGCAUACGACCUGAGGGUGAAAGUGGGGGACCGCAAGGCCUCAUGCUAUAGGAGCGGCCGAUGUCUGAUUAGCUAGUUGGUGAGGUAAAGGCUCACCAAGGCGACGAUCAGUAGCUGGUCUGAGAGGACGAUCAGCCACACUGGGACUGAGACACGGCCCAGACUCCUACGGGAGGCAGCAGUGGGGAAUGUUGGACAAUGGGCGAAAGCCUGAUCCAGCAAUGCCGCGUGUGUGAAGAAGGCCUUCGGGUUGUAAAGCACUUUUGUCCGGAAAGAAAUGGCUCUGGUUAAUACCUGGGGUCGAUGACGGUACCGGAAGAAUAAGGACCGGCUAACUACGUG